CACCUGCUCUCGGGGGCCGCCUCCCCCGAAGCAGCGCCCCACGCAGUCUCUCCCGGCAGCCAAAUGGGCGACUCCUCUCCUCUGAGCCCGAGCUUCUGAAAGAAAACAAAGUUACUGAAAACUCAGACUUUACAGAAAUGCACAAAUUAGAAUGGAAGGAAUCACCAAAGCCCCACCUCCAGAUAAACUUGUACAGACGCCAAUCUGAAAUCCUGCACUCAGCUUCUGGCUCCUCUUUGACUCCAGAGAGAGGCGUUGCCAUUUCCAGGUGGAAGUACCCUUUUUCUCCUGGUUCGGGUGCAACGUGUUCAAGAAAGUCUCGGGUCCUGUUUCUUCUCCCGAUGCCCUGCUGGCUGGGCGGUCUUAGCCCCUCUCCUGGGAGCUCCUGGAUCGUGUGCCGGGCUCCACUGUUGAGACCCAAGGACAGAGUGGGCUCAUCCCACUAGAACGACCGCAAAGAAGAACACUCCUUCCCUGCAUCGGCGGCUUCGUGUCACAGGUGGGUCCCUCUCUGGCCAGGUUGCCGUGUUCUCCUUCCCAACACCAGCCUCCAAAAGUAAACCGGGGGGUGGGGGGGCAGUGUCUUUGGGAAAAUCUUCUGUGACACCGACGGCGCCCUUUCAGGGGGCUUCAAACGGAAGAGGAGGAGGAGCCCACGCACAUACACGCAGGUGCACCACACGCAUGCACACGCAUGCACACAGACGCCAGACUCUUCCAGCCGGAGCUACAGGACUUUGCGGACCUGGGCACGCAGCCCAUCCCUCUGCCCGUCCCUCUUUCCUCGGCCAGCAAGUCCCUGCAGGGCUGCACCUCUGUGGACGACAGUGGCCACCCAAGCCAGGUCCUAGCUCUGUCCUGCGUCCCAGCCUUCUUAUUUUCAGUCUCAUUGCGCCUUCCAGAAGGAACGUCCAUACGCUCCGGCCCUGACGGAACUCUCGGACAUCCAGCCCUCGUUUGAGCCCCGCUCAGGACAGGUGAGGCCCCCGCCACCAGGCAGCACUCCGGGCCUUCCAGCCUUGCAGCCGCUGCGAGCUGCUUCCUUCGAGAGUUUCUGAGCAGGUGUUGUGAAAAUAAUGAUUAUGUGGUUUGGCAGAUUCGAUCUCUGCAGCUAAUUGUUGACACUGAGUUUGUAUUACCCAAUACUUUGGGGUGGGGGACAAAAUAAUGCUAUUUUCUAGCCAGUAAGCCAGCAACUAUGUGUAAAGUCUUCGUCCUCUGGGUGGGGCAUAUGUUUUUCCAAGAAUCAAUUUUAAAAACAGGAUUGGCAGGUGCUGGCCACCUCCAACGAGCUCAAAAUGCAGAUCAAAACAACUGCAGGGCCAGCCUAGUCAGGCACUGACCUGGGCAGCCGUCCCUGAGCUCUGGUGGGGUGUCUAUGUCCGGUGGGCAGUUGAGAUGAAAGAGGGGUCCCCACCCUGCGACAGGCCCUGACCCUCCGACCCG
rnacentral:lncRNA from 1 species